CCGGCCACCCAACUCCCGCGGCUCCUCCAGCUUCACGCACCACCGCCAGGGACGCCGAUAUAACUAGCCACGCUGCCGCCAUACAUCGGCUUGCACGCCGCCUCAACCAGAUGCGGGAACGCCGCCUCCCCAUCCAACCGUAGCGAUCAGCACAGACCUGCAGCCGCUGACAUCGGGCGGCAUCCAGCAUGGGUUGCAUCGGCGGCCACGCCCCGCUGGCGAUGGCAGCGAGGGUGCAGCCUUCCGCUAUCUCAUCGACCUUAACAUCAGUGACACCGAGCGGGGUCCCUUGAGGUUCGUGUGUUUCUCUUCUUUGCUUGUCUUGUCAGAUUCAGUUACUCCGUCUUUCUUCACUUCGUGUCUGGUUCCAGCUUACUUUUUCAACGAGAAAAGUUUUGGAGGCUGGAGUUGGUGGCUGUCACGUUUGUGAUGGUCCAUAGAGUUCUUCAAAAUUUAUCAUGCAGUCUUUCCCUUGAUUGAAAUGGUAGUUUAUAUCCAAUCUUUGAAGUUGUACAACCAUACAGGAUGUUGAUCAGUAAUAUUACUCAUAUGAUUUCUGUUCUUCCAUAGUCCUAGACGGUAUGUAAUGCUGCUGUGCCUAAGUUAAUGUGUAAUUUCGCUCCUAUAUGUCCGAUUCUGUGUAGUAUCCUUAUAUUUGUUGGAAUCGUCAAAUAACGGGACAAUCUGGGUAUACCACGUAUCUUCCUUCCCAUAGGUGCUAAAUAACAAUACCCAUGAUUGCCUUGAUGUAAAUCUACUGGUUGUCCAAACAGUUAUUUUCUUCAAAAUGAAUUACUGUCCAAACCAAGGGAAUGAAAUUAAUGCAUUUGUUCUAUUUGCAAAAGUAAACUAAAACAGAGCUUUCUUUAUAAACGAUGAUACAAGUAAAAAGGUUCAUUGCCUUAUUUACCUGUCAUCCCUACUAUGUUAUGUCUCUUUUUUGUAGCAAAUGAGGAGCACAAAUCUGUGUUGGAUUUUUUUAAAAAGAAAUAUAUGUUGGUAACUUCUUAUGAAUGAUCAUUAUUGUUUUCUAAUUACUAUCUGCUCGCAUACUUCCUGACUUGUGUUGUUAUGUUAUAGUGUACUUCUCUAUUCUCUUCAUAAGAUAUCACGUUGGUAUUUUCAGUAAUCAAAUGCUAGCUCAUCUUAAAUCGUGCCUCAUGUUAAUUGGCUUGCUAGAAGCAGUGUGUGUUGCUUCAGGCAAAACUGCUGUAGGUGUUUAGUGCUUUAAGUAUGGUUUCUUCAGAAUCUGAAUUGUAACUAAAAUGUGUUCCCUAUUUUCUUAUCUGUAUGUCCUCACAACUAUGUUGCAUGGACACUGACAGGUACACAUUUUCAGGGCUUCAUGCAUGAUGAAGAAAAGUAGUAGAUUAUGAUCAGGUCAGAGAGAACGGUGGAUCAUGGCAGAAGCAGCUCAAGCUCAUACUCUUAUCUUCAGUGGAUAUAGUGCAUCUGUUUGUUGCCCCUUCCUAUUUUUCAGAAUUCAUAAAAUUCCUCAAAUUUUUUAGGUUAACUGCCAUCCUUAGCAAGAGGUUCUCAUUUCUUAAAAAGACUUUUGUCACCCUAUUAUUAGGUUAUCGUUGUUGAUUGUAGUACGAUAUUUCCUUUUUUGAUUGCUUAGCAAGAGCCAUGACAUGAAGUCUGAACUAAGUCCAAGCAUAUUUGUUAAGUUCACAUUCCUUUCAUGUUCUUCAAGAAACUCGGUUGAUUCUUUUUCUAUUCAAGACGGAUGCAGUAAGUUAUUUAUUGGCAUUACUUACAUGGUUGUUUAUUGGAUACUUUCCAGUAAAAUUUUCCUUUCAGCAUACUUUUAGUGAUGUUUUUCGCCUUCCCGAGCAUCAACGAGCGCCGCCGCCGCUUCUACAACGUGCCUCCCGCGUGCUAUAUGUGGACUCUUAUGUUGCUGGCGUUCCUUUCUUGCUACGCUGCUUCCAAAUUAUGUUCUUGAAGACGGUUCAGAGGUGAAUAAUACUCAAUACUUAGGUGCUUUGUUUUCCUGUGUUCAUGUCAUUCAGGUAAUCUAUUUGACUACUUUUUCAUCUUCCCUACUAUUACCAUGUACUUGCAGUUCCAUUCAGCAUGUACCGUUGGCACGGCAUCUCCUUGCUCCUUGUUGCUAUGUUCUUGUUGUUUCUAAUUCCUUUUGUUGUUAACUUGUAUGCUUUUCUUUUCUUCUGCCUGCUUGUGUGUCUUUCGUCAUGUGUUGUGAAGAGAAAGGGUGUACAACUGUGUCACCUCAUCGACUCCAGAGAUUCUUGUACAUUCACCUGACUAGCAGUUUGAUUGUGCCCGGUUUCAGGGAGUGAGCUGCCAGUGUGACCUUAUAAAGGAAGGUUCCAGGGAGUUAGCUGCCAAUGUGAACUCAUAAAAGAAAGAGUUAAUUUUAUUUUUUGCAGGAAAUAUUGUUUGAUCCUUCCAGUCGAUCCUGAGAAAUCCUGGAUCGACAUGCCGACGGUGUGGAUGCCCUAAAUGCGUUAGAGUGGUUCCCUCUAUGAGGGAGAGAGAGGUUGCUAAUCUUGGAUCUUGAUGAUUAGUCAGAAGUUCGGAUCGAUGAUCUUCUUGACGGAAAGGUUUGAGACUUCUACUAGAACUGCAACCUCUCUGGACUUUGCAUGACCCUGAGCCCUCCAAAUUCAGCGCUGUGGAGGUGGUCUGAGUGAUAUGUGUCACGCUCAUCUGCACCCAUGGAUUGCCUCACGGACGACCGGCCAAGUCGAGCGUGAUCUCAGUGCUCAAGGUCACGGGAGAUGCUAACAUGGCCAGGAAUGAGGACAUCAAGCACAGCAACACAACGGAGAGGCAGGUGAAAUGUUGGGAUUAUGGGAAUAAGCCGCCAAGUCAGCCCGUUGACACAUUAGUCUUCCCGUGUCCAUGCUGGGAUGGCGUAGUGAAGGGCAUGAACUGAUAUGUCAUCUAGCUUUUCAGCGUCAGGCAACACAAAGGCGAAUAAGACUGUGUUGUUGUCUACAUACUAUUUUUCUUUCCUCCUUGUUUUGGGGCUAAGCUUGCAUUGUACUUACGGCUGGUAUAUGUGAUACUCUUGAGGGGUCUGUUACUAUCGUGAGGCAACUAUAUUUGUUGUCAA